rnacentral:lncRNA from 10 species
UUUAACUUAAUGACAAAACCUGAAGACCUUUUCAUCAAGUACAACUUGAGCUCUCAUCUACAUAACUGAAGGCUGCACCCAGGGCUGUAAAGAGUGAAAAUGCAUUGCCGAAGCAUGAGCACCUCCUGCAGUUCUCAGUAGACAUUUGGGAAGCGAGUGAACCGCCCUGUAUGGAGUGUUUGGAGGAGGUCGGAGGGUGUCGGGCCUGAGCCAGGGGCUGCCCUGGGCCUGUGUCGGGUGGCGCAUGCCAGAGGAAUGAGAUGGGAAGGGCAUGCACGCGGGGUCUUGGCAGCCCUGGAGCUGGCCUAGAUGCAGCAGCUUUCUGAUAAAGCGAAAUUGUUCCAUCGGCUUGCCAUGCUUUGCUUAGCCAUCCGCACUUCACUGUUGGGCGAAAGAAGAUUUUAAAGAACACCCUUAGCAGAUGUCAGAGUUUGGGAUUUGGGGUCCAUGAUACCCAAAUAAGAUUCCACUUGAAGAAAGUAACACGAAUUGCUUUCAACACAUCAAUCAACAAAGAGCAUUGAUGGAUGAAGAGGACAUUGAUAAAUGGGAUGUCUUUUUGCUGAAACUCUAACUUACAGUAAAGGGGGGAAACUCACAGAAGCCCAGUGGAAGCUUCUGGAGCCAGGAGCUACACUGACUCUCUCCGCAGAGGGUGUGGAGGGGUAGGCGGCAGUCAGCCCCCAGCCCAGAGUGGAGGGCACCUGGGCACAUGUGUGAUCAGAGCCCACAUGGAGGGAGGCCAGGGUCCAGCUUCCCUUCACUCUGGGAACAUGGGAGGCCCUGUCCCCAGGCCAUGGCACACAGAGGGAGGAGCAGGAGCUCUGGCAGCCUCAGAGGUGUGUGCCAGGCCGCAGCCUAUUGGAAAUUCCUCAGGAGUGCAUGGCCUGGGGUCCCCCAGCCUGCGGGAGGCAGAGGGGGCGAGGCCAGGUCCCCCGGCCUGUGGGAGGCAGAGGGGGCGAGGCCACGUCCACCAGUCCGAAGCCUGUCCUGCCCAGCUUGCUGUGUGACUCUGGCCUCGGGGGGAACAUUAUCUGAAAUGUACAUAGUGGAAUCCAGGCAGUGUUCACCCCUUCCCUCUGUGCCCUCCGUGGUCUUCUGUGACCUGGGAUUUGUUGGUCAUUGGCAGAAACAGAAGAUGCAUUAUUAUUACUGUAAAAGGUAAAGUUGUCCCCUAACUGGCUCAACUGUCCGAAGACCCCCCUGCUUUUUCUGCUUUUCCUUGUGACUCAGCCUGGUCUUUCUUCUUCCAGGGUGGCAUCCCACUGACUCCUACGCAGCCCCACCCUGGUUCCCUCACUCCCAGGUUCCUGGUCCCUCAGGGUCCUAGGGCUGAGUCCUCCAUAGCCCCCACACACAGCCCAGAGCUGGGACUGACCCACGGCAUAGGACAAACUCCUC